CUGGAGGACACAAUACUUAAGCUGAGUCCACCCGAUACCUUUGAUCGUGCCAAGGAUACGACCUUAUCAAACGGCGUUUCUUCUAUGAUAAUUCCUUUGCCAUUUAUGGUGGAAUUACUGGCCAGUAUGAUUUUGGACCCAUGGGAUGUGACCUGAUAGAUAAUAUGAUGUCUGAGUGGCACAAGCAUUUUGUCAUUCAAGAACGCAUGUUGAAGUCAACUGUUCCAUCCUUACUCCAGAACCUGUUUUAAAGGCUUCAGGUCAUGUUGACAAGUUUGCUGACUACAUGGUCAAGGAUGUUGUGACUGGUGAAUGUUUCCGUCUUGACCAUCUGAUUAAGCAACAUUUUGAGAAGAUAAAGAGUGAUAAGAAAACAUCUCAAGAGGAGAAGGAGACCAUUGAAAGAAAGACUACUUUACUUGAUGGCAUGACUAUGGAGGAAAUGGAUAAAAUUGUGAGGAUUACAAAUGAAGUCUCCAUUGACUGGAAAUGAUCUAACUGAUGCUGUAGAGUUUAAUCUCAUGUUCCCCAUUUCAAUAGCCAUCUGGUAAG